AUUAUUUUGUUUAUUUUAAUAUAAAUAAUUAAUAUUUUAAUAACAGAUUAAUAGUGUUUAACUAUUUGAGAGAGAGCGAUAACAGGUCUGUGAUGCCCUUAGAUGUCCGGGGCUGCACGCGCGCUACAAUGUAGUGAUCAUUAUGUUCCUGUUUAGAGAUAAAUGGGUAAACAUUGAAAACAUUACGUAACUGGGAAUGAAAAUUGCAAUUAUUUUUCAUGAACGAGGAAUUCCAAG
rnacentral:misc_RNA from 1 species